rnacentral:rRNA from 1 species
UGGGGAAUUUUGGACAAUGGGCGCAAGCCUGAUCCAGCCAUGCCGCGUGCGGGAAGAAGGCCUUCGGGUUGUAAACCGCUUUUGUCAGGGAAGAAACGCUCUGGGCUAAUACCCUGGGGUAAUGACGGUACCUGAAGAAUAAGCACCGGCUAACUACGUGCCAGCAGCCGCGGUAAUACGUAGGGUGCAAGCGUUAAUCGGAAUUACUGGGCGUAAAGCGUGCGCAGGCGGCUAUGCAAGACAGAUGUGAAAUCCCCGGGCUCAACCUGGGAACUGCAUUUGUGACUGCAUAGCUGGAGUGCGGCAGAGGGGGAUGGAAUUCCGCGUGUAGCAGUGAAAUGCGUAGAUAUGCGGAGGAACACCGAUGGCGAAGGCAAUCCCCUGGGCCUGCACUGACGCUCAUGCACGAAAGCGUGGGGAGCAAACAGGAUUAGAUACCCCGGUAGUCCCUGAGCGGGCUGGCAAGGCGCAU